rnacentral:rRNA from 1 species
GGCUUCGGCCCGAGUUGUAAUUUGUAGAGGAUGCUUUUGGUGAGGUGCCUUCUGAGUUCCCUGGAACGGGACGCCAGAGAGGGUGAGAGCCCCGUAUAGUCGGCCACCGAUCCUCUGUAAAGCUCCUUCGACGAGUCGAGUAGUUUGGGAAUGCUGCUCAAAAUGGGAGGUAUAUCUCUUCUAAAGCUAAAUAUUGGCCAGAGACCGAUAGCGCACAAGUAGAGUGAUCGAAAGAUGAAAAGCACUUUGAAAAGAGGGUUAAAUAGCACGUGAAAUUGUUGAAAGGGAAGCGCUUGUGACCAGACUUGUGCCGGGCUGAUCAUCCAGUGUUCUCACUGGUGCACUCGACCCGGCUCAGGCCAGCGUCGGUUCUCGUAGGGGGAUAAAAGCUUCGGGAACGUGGCACCUUCGGGUGUGUUAUAGCCCGUUGCU